AUUCCGAUUCCGGGCACCA
rnacentral:tRNA from 1 species